AUGCGCCGAACUGCCGAAGGAGCCGCAGUUGCUGGAUCGAGUGGAGACGGAGACGCGCGAGCCACCGGCCGGAGUCAACGCACUGAGCACGGUCGACGGCAGCAACAGCAAGUGAUCAACGUGAGUGUGAUGGCAGAACAAAGUUCUCGUAUUUCGCAUUCAGACACCUCCCCUUACAACGCUUCGAACUUGGAGAAGGACAGUCAUGAUGGGCAACAGCUCCCCGACCAGCAGCAGAAGGAGACGACCGAGGCUGAGAAGAAUACAGAAAAUGCCAAGAAAAGGAAGGAAAUGGCUCCACGGUCGGAAGUUUGGAAUCAUUUUAGCAAGGAAGUAAAUGCCACGACAGCAACAUGCAACUAUUGCAAAAGUGAGCUUGCUUGUGGUUCUAAAAGGAAUGGUACAUCAUCCUUGUUGAAGCAUUUGACAACCUGCAAGAGAAAUCCUCAUAGCAACAAGGAUGACAAGCAACCAACUCUACAAGCUACUCCGAAUCAGGGGGAUGCUAGUAAGUGUUCACUCACUACCUGGAGAUUUGAUCAGGAUAAGCUUAGAGAUGCUUUGGCUGAAAUGGUAAUUGUGGAUGAGCUUCCGUUUGCAUUUGUUGAGAAGCCAGGAUUUAGAAGGUUUGUGGCAAAGGCUUGUCCUCGUUUCAAUGUCCCAUCCAGGAGGACGGUUACUAGAGAUUGUGUCCGCAUUCAUUAUAGGGAGAAAGUCAAGCUAAAGAAAUUCUUCAAAGAAUCUUGUGAAAGAGUUUGUGUAACUACCGACACAUGGACAUCUUCCCAAAAGCAGAAUUUUAUGUGUGUGACAGCCCAUUUUAUUGACAAUGACUGGGUUCUGCAUAAGUGGAUCAUUGGGUUUUUCUUGGUGAGGGGUCAUAAGGGGGAAGACAUUGGGAAGGACCUGGAGAAGUGUUUGGUUGAGUGGGGCAUAGAUAAGGUGUUUUCAGUAACAGUUGACAAUGCCUCACCAAAUGAUGGAGCAGUAAGCUACAUAAAGAGGAUCAUGAACAGUGCCAAUGCAAGCAUAGGGAGAGGAGAAUAUAUGCACAUGAGAUGUGCUGCUCACAUUCUGAACUUGAUAGUUACCGAUGGGCUAAAAGAGUUGGAUAUCUCGGUGAAGCGAGUCCGUGCUGCAGUCAAGUUUGUUAAGAAUUCUCCAGCUAGAAUUACUAAGUUCAAGAAGUGUGCUGAAUUAGAGAAAUUGGCAAAUAAAGGUUUCUUGUCACUUGAUGUAUGCACUAGAUGGAACUCCACAUUCUUAAUGCUGAAAGCUGCAGCCACAUAUGAGAAGGUGUUCGUGAGGUAUGAAGAAGAGGACCCAUACUUUGCAAUUGAGCUAAAUGGCGACAAAAUGCCAGGAGUGCCUCAACCAGAAGAUUGGGAUAAUGCUUCAAAGAUGGCAGAGUUUCUUGAGCAUUUCUAUAAGCUUACCCUUCGUGUUUCAGCCUCAAAUCAUUGCACAUCUCACAUCUUCUUCCAUCAAAUUGCUGAUAUCAUUGUCUUGCUGAGGGCUUGGUGUGGAAGUGGAGACCCUUUGCGGAGAGAGAUGGGAGAAAGGAUGCUGGACAAGUACAACAAGUAUUGGGCAGAUCACAAGAGCUUCAACAUCUUGAUCUUUGUGGCUGUUGCUCUUGAUCCAAGAUACAAGUUGUCAAAUUACAUCAAGAUUGCAACUUUUGAAAUGUUUGGGCAGAUCAAUGGAGAGGAAGUGUGGACAAAAAUGAAUACAACUCUUACAAAUCUGUUCCAAGAGUAUUUUAAGUUAUAUGGUCCAACUGAGCAAGAAGUGCAGCCUGAUGAUGCACCUAGCUUUGAAGAGGACAGCAGCGAAAGCUUGAUGAGUUCCUUGAUUGCAAAGAGAAUGAGAAUGAAUGACUGUGGAAUCAGCAUUAGCCCUUCGAAGUCUGAACUUGAAAAGUAUCUUACAGAGGAUAAUGAAGCAAACAGCAGCAAAUUCAACAUUCUUGAGUGGUGGAAGGUCAACUCAUCUAGAUUCCCUGUGCUAUCACGUUUAGCUCGUGAUGUCCUAGCUUUCCCGAUAUCUACAGUCGCAUCAGAGUCAGCUUUUAGCACCGGUGGACGCAUUCUUGAUGAGUUCCGAAGCUCGCUCACUCCAUUCAUGGUGCAGGCACUAAUUUGUACUCAGGAUUGGUUGCGAAGAGAAAUUCCUGUUAACAAUGAAGAGAAUGAAGAGCUACUUGCCAACCUAGAGGAUGCGAUACUUCAAGAAUUGUCUGAUCUGAGCGUUGCUAAUGCUAAGUCCGGUACAAGUGCUGGUGUCCACAUCACCAUUGAUGACAUCGAAUCAUAA
rnacentral:rRNA from 1 species